rnacentral:rRNA from 1 species
GACGAACGCUGGCGGCGUGCUUAACACAUGCAAGUCGAACGGAAAGGCCCUAAGUGUGUGGGGUGCUCGAGGGGGGAACGGGGGCGUGACACGUGAGUAACCUGACCUUGACUUUGGGAGGAGUUCAGGAAAGGGAGGCUAAUACAGGAUAGGAGCUCCUGCUGCAUGGAGGGGAUGGGAAAGUCUCGGCGGGUGUGGAUGGACGCGCGGCUUAUCGGCUUGUUGGUGGGGGAGGGGAUGACCAAGUCUGUGACGGGUCGCCGGCCGGAGAGGGUGACCGGCCACCUGGGGCCUGCGAUACGGCCCAGACUCCUACGGUAGGCAGAAGUCGGGAAUAUUGCACAAUGGGCGCAAGUCUGAUGCAGCAACGUCGCGUUCGUGAUGACGGCCUGCUGGUUGUAAACCGCUUCCGCCUGUGACGAAGCGUUUGUGACGGUAAUGGGUAAAGAAGCACCGGCUAACUACGUG